GUGGUCGCCGUUGUUAUUCUUGGCCUGCUGGCCACUGCAUGGGCCGGGAACCUGGCUUUGGCAGGUGGACUUGGUGGUCUAGGCAGUGGUGGAGUGCUCCUCAGUGCAGUCCCGGCCGUCGGACUGGGGGGUGUCGGCGUAGGCAGCUCUGUAGCUCUAUUGAGUGGCGGACCAGGCUUCACUAAGUCUGUGGCGGGACCGGCUUUCUUGGUCAGGACGGUGCACCACGUCAGUAAGAUUAACGGCGGAGGUGCUGUCGUAGCCCACAGUGGCCUUGGAGGUGGUGGUGGUCUCGGAGGUGGUGGUGGCCUCGGAGGUGGUGCUGGCCUCGGAGGACUUGGUGGUCUCGGAGGUCUUGGUGGCCAUGGAGGCUACGGAGGUUACGGCAGCUACGGAAGCUACAAAGCCUACGUCCUUAAGGGCUGAUAAAAAAACGUGCAGUCAAUUACUGCCGCUUUGUAGAUCCGGUGUUGCCCCACGUGUACGACCUACUGGCAGCUUCUACCUCAGUCAUAAUAGAUUCUUAAUGCCAAGAAUCCAACUCGGCAGUCCUCAAGCAGCUUCAGCAACGUGCACAAAACAUCAUCAAUAAAACCAUGCCAAAAAAAAAAAAAGACUGAGGCGUGUCUUCCCCAGCCAUAACGUUCCGCUAUUACUAAGAAAACAUCAACAUUAUGCCACCUUGCAUGUUUAUAGCAGCAUUGCUGUAGCUAUAGGUGCAGGGCGACAAUGUAGCGUCUUUAUUUAACUUCAAAACAGUGCUCUUUUGCUGUAAAGUUUUGAUCUGCUUCGCUUCAUCACAGGUAUUACCAUGAACUUUUCAACAUGAUUGAGAGCCGUAUUCUCUAGUUUAAUAGUACUCUUAAUUUUGACAACUAAUUAAAAAGCUUCUCCUUC